CUACGUGCCAGCAGCCGCGGUAAUACGGAAGGUCCAGGCGUUAUCCGGAUUUAUUGGGUUUAAAGGGAGCGUAGGCGGAUUAUUAAGUCAGUGGUGAAAGACGGUGGCUCAACCAUCGUUAGCCAUUGAAACUGGUAGUCUUGAGUGCAGACAGGGAUGCUGGAACUCGUGGUGUAGCGGUGAAAUGCUUAGAUAUCACGAUGAACUCCGAUCGCGAAGGCAGGUGUCCGGGCUGCAACUGACGCUGAGGCUCGAAAGUGUGGGUAUCAAACAGGAUUAGAUACCCUGGUAGUCCACACAGUAAACGAUGUAUACUCGCGGUUUGCGAUAUAAUGUAAGCCGCCAAGCGAAAGCAUUAAGUAUACCACCUGGGGAGUACGCCGGCAACGGUGAAACUCAAAGGAAUUGACGGGGGCCCGCACAAGCGGAGGAACAUGUGGUUUAAUUCGAAGCAACGCGAAGAACCUUACCAGGUCUUGACAUCCCUCUGACCGCUCUAGAGAUAGAGUUUUC
rnacentral:rRNA from 1 species